GGCUUGGUCGUAGGAUCAGCAGGGCUCGCACUUCGGUCAGCAGGAAAAGACGCUGCGGCGAGCAGCGGAGGGCGGAGUUGAAUGGCUGGGCAGCUGAUUGCCUUACUGUAUCCGGAGCUGCUGCGUUCGGGGCGGUUCGGGAGUCCCCAGGAAAGGAGGCUGUUCUUGGACUAUGCCUGACCCGUUUUUUAAGAAAGAGUGCAUCAGUCAACAGGUGGCGUCUGGAGUUAUCCUCUGUGGAUUUUCCAGGAUCUCAGACAAGAUCGUGCAAUCUCCCAGCCUCCUUUCCUUCCCCUGCCCUGACUUCUGAAAGAAUGCUGCGGAGAGGAGGGAGAGCAUCCUGGCUCCUGGCAGCAGAGCCCCACUGUGACAGGACCUAGCAUUCACCUUUCUCUUCUGUUCCGAGUGUGAGAAGACUUCAGGGACCUCUGUUUCAUGGACAUUAUCAUAUUCUUCUCAGAGUACCCAGCAAGAGGUUUGCAAAGAGGAGUUAUUCAGUGAGUAAGUGUGAUUCAUGUAGCUCUCCAACAGGCAUCUGGAUUUUGGGCGCUACAGCUUGCAAUUAGAGAACAAAAUAGAAGGAUUAUCCACAGUCCUUGUCUGU
rnacentral:lncRNA from 1 species